UCAGCCCUGCCUUAACCGCUUGAUGACA
rnacentral:misc_RNA from 1 species